CUUAUUGAGAGUUUGAUCCUGGCUCAGGAUGAACGCUGGCGACGUGUCUAAGGCAUGCAAGUCGAGGGGUUCGUAGCAAUACGGACACCGGCAAACGGGUGCGUAACACAUUGGUAACUUACCCCGAAGUCAUGAAUAAGUCUGCGAAAGCGGGUCUAAUACAUGAUGGCAGCGAGGGGACUAAAGUCAUUCUCGCUUAAAGAUUUAUCGCUUCGGGAAAGGCCUAUGGCCUAUCAGCUAGUUGGAGAGGUAAUGGCUCACCAAGGCUAUGACGGGUAGCGGGAUUGAGAGAUCGACCCGCCUCACUGGGACUGAGACACUGCCCAGACUCCUACGGGAGGCUGCAGUCAAGAAUAUUCCCCAAUGGCCGAAAGGCUGAGGGAGCGACGUCGCGUGCAUGAAGAAACCCUUCGGGGUGUAAAAUGCUUUUAACUGGGAUGAACCCCUUACCACUUUCCGUGAAAUACUACGGAGCUAUAAUAUUAAAUAAUUUUUCGCACAAAUAAUUAUUUAUUAUUUUUUCAUAGAAAGUGGCAAGGGGUGACAGUACCAGUUGAAUAAGGGGCUGCUAAACUCGUGCCAGCAGCAGCGGUAAUACGAGUGCCCCAAGCGUUAUCCGGAUUUAUUGGGCGUAAAGCGUACGUAGGUGGUUUAUCGCAUCUCCUGUUAAAUCCCGAGGCUCAACCU
rnacentral:rRNA from 1 species